CUCUCUCUGAUGCUCUGCUCUAAAGAAAAAGCCAAACAACCUGUUUUAAGAAUAAUAAAGCAGGCCUAGGACAGUUCCAUGUAAAGAGAACCUGAGGCUUUUCCCAAAUUUGCCAGCAACAUCAGUGAACCACAUUGGAAUGGGAUCCGAUAGCAUCUCUAAGUCUUUGGCUGCCUCGAGGCCUGGACAGCAUCCUGACUGUAACCUCGUGAGAGACCCUGAGCCAGAAUCGCUCCAACGAGCUGCUUCCAAAUUCCUGACUCAAAGAAACGUAACUGACCAACCCACUUUAGAAGACUCC
rnacentral:lncRNA from 1 species